rnacentral:rRNA from 1 species
UGCAGUCGAGCGGACAGAAGGGAGCUUGCUCCCGGAUGUUAGCGGCGGACGGGUGAGUAACACGUGGGUAACCUGCCUGUAAGACUGGGAUAACUCCGGGAAACCGGAGCUAAUACCGGAUAGUUCCUUGAACCGCAUGGUUCAAGGAUGAAAGACGGUUUCGGCUGUCACUUACAGAUGGACCCGCGGCGCAUUAGCUAGUUGGUGAGGUAACGGCUCACCAAGGCGACGAUGCGUAGCCGACCUGAGAGGGUGAUCGGCCACACUGGGACUGAGACACGGCCCAGACUCCUACGGGAGGCAGCAGUAGGGAAUCUUCCGCAAUGGACGAAAGUCUGACGGAGCAACGCCGCGUGAGUGAUGAAGGUUUUCGGAUCGUAAAGCUCUGUUGUUAGGGAAGAACAAGUGCAAGAGUAACUGCUUGCACCUUGACGGUACCUAACCAGAAAGCCACGGCUAACUACGUGCCAGCAGCCGCGGUAAUACGUAGGUGGCAAGCGUUGUCCGGAAUUAUUGGGCGUAAAGGGCUCGCAGGCGGUUUCUUAAGUCUGAUGUGAAAGCCCCCGGCUCAACCGGGGAGGGUCAUUGGAAACUGGGAAACUUGAGUGCAGAAGAGGAGAGUGGAAUUCCACGUGUAGCGGUGAAAUGCGUAGAGAUGUGGAGGAACACCAGUGGCGAAGGCGACUCUCUGGUCUGUAACUGACGCUGAGGAGUGAAAGCGUGGGGAGCGAACAGGAUUAGAUACCCUGGUAG